ACCUGGCCAUCUCGAAGCUAUGAUGGUUGCAAUAAUUGUUGUAGUCAAAAAUUGGCCAAUAUAAAAUCAUCCUUCCAUAGGUCACAGAUUUGCUGAUAAUUGGCUAUUUUGUAUUACCCAAGAAGGAAACAAAA
rnacentral:snoRNA from 1 species